rnacentral:lncRNA from 1 species
UUCAAACAUGAAUUCAAAUUAUAUAUAAUCAAAUAAUCAAACAACCGAAACCACACAAAAGCGUAACUUUCUGUUUUUCACUUUACAAUUAAUCAAACAAUCAAACUCAAAAGUUACUUUUUUUUUUUGUAAAAGUCAUUUUUCUAAAAAAUAACUUUUUCACUUCAACUACUUUUCGACAACCAAACAUGCUCUCAUAAGGAAGGCCACAAAAGCGUAUCUUUUUAUUUUUCACUUUAUAGUUAAUCAAACAAUCGAUCUCAAAAGUCAUUUUUCUAAAACAAAGUAGGUCACCUCUGGAGUAUUUGGUGAAUGGUACCUAUGCCUCAAUAGUAGGUCACCUCUAGAAUCAUAUUAAAUCUAAACCAUCUAUUAAGAAAAAUAAAUAAUCAAGAUUUAUAUGGUAUAUUGAGGUAUUACUUUUUUGGAAUAAUGGAGUAACAUAUAAGAUGUAUAUUGGAAAGGAAAAAAAAAUUUCAAAAUUUUAAGGCGUAUAAUAUAGGUAAUUAUUCUUAUUUUUUAGAAAAAACUUCAAAUACAACCCCUGUGGUUUCACAUUUUCUCGCUUUAGUACCUUGUGGUUUAAAGUGUAUUAAUCUAGCGUCAUAUGUUUUUCUUUUUAUCUUUUUAUUAUCGAUUCCACUAAUUUUUUUCGUUAAAUUAGUAACAAAGUUAAAACUAAAUGGUACUAAAGUGAAUAUUUGAUAAAUCUAGAUAGAUAUCUGAAGUUUUUUAUAUAUAAUUUAACAAAAUAUUAACGGAAAAGCUGACGAAAAGAUAAAAAUGAAACCACAGAACACUAACUUGAUACAAUUUAAACCAUAGAGUACUAAAUGAGAAAGUGCGAAAUCACAGAAACGGCAUUUGAAGUUUAUCCUUAUUUUUUAAAAUACACUUCU